GGAGAGAUGGCCGAGUUGGUUAUGGCGCCAGGUUAAGGUUUACCUUGACCCAAGAUCCUGGUGGAGCAAUCCGCGCGGGUUCGAGUCCCGUUCUCUUCA